rnacentral:rRNA from 1 species
UACAGAGGUCCCAAGCGUUGUUCGGAUUCAUUGGGCGUAAAGGGUGCGUAGGCGGCGCGGUAAGUCGGGUGUGAAAUCUCGGAGCUUAACUCCGAAACUGCAUUCGAUACUGCCGUGCUUGAGGACUGGAGAGGAGACUGGAAUUUACGGUGUAGCGGUGAAAUGCGUAGAUAAUCGUAAGGAAGACCAGUGGCGAAGGCGGGUCUCUGGACAGUUCCUGACGCUGAGGCACGAAGGCCAGGGAGCAAACGGG